rnacentral:ncRNA from 1 species
UAAAAUGCGUUUAAUGGGAGAAGUAGUAAUAUUCGCCUAUCACAGAGAGGAGGUCAUAGCUGAAAGACCUCUAUAUGCGAUAUUAUGAAAUGCACCCGUCAGCACACAGUAGGAAAUGACUGUGCGUAUUGUCUGCGUUAAGGAUUUUAAUGAGGACAGAGUUUUUCUGUUAAAUUAGGGUGGAACAGCGAUAAUCUCGCCCCUGAA